GUCCCUUUAGCUUAACUGGAUAAAGCUCGGAGCCUCUACCUCCGUUAAUGAGCGUUCGAGUCGUUCAAGGGAUACCA
rnacentral:tRNA from 1 species